rnacentral:rRNA from 1 species
GACGAGUCUCACAAACGUUAUUCGGAAUUACUGGGCUUAAAGGGUGCGUAGGCGGUGGAGUAAGUCGGAUGUGAAAUACCUUAGCUUAACUAGGGAACUGCACUCGAUACUACUUUGCUAGAGUAAGACAGAGGUGAGUGGAACUGAGGGUGGAGCGGUGAAAUGCGUUGAUAUCCUCAGGAACACCGGUGGCGAAGGCGACUCACUGGGUCUUUACUGACGCUGAUGCACGAAAGCUAGGGGUAGCAAACGGG